UGACAUUGCUCCUUAGUGUGGUGACAGAGGAAGGCUUACUCUCCCCUUUCUCCCCCACAGUCCCAGACUAGAGGAGAUGCAGGAUGCCCAGGAACCAGAGAGGAGGCACUUAGGGCCAAAGGGUCCCUGUGACGUCAAGGGUCAGGGGCACAAUGAAGCUACACUUGUUGAUCUCCCAGCCUCCACCAUCCACAUCAGUCUUUGCUGCCCUGGACUACAUGGCUGUCCUUCCAGUGGGUCCCUGUGUGCCUAUUUCAGACAAGAGCUCUGGGAUAACGUGGACAGCAGAGAUCUGUGUCCAUAAGGGUCCCUGGGACCCAGGCUCUGGGUUGCUGCAAGUACUGGAGCGCCAUCUCUGAAAUCUGCUCUAAGCUGAACUCGAGCUCUGUGAGUAGCUGGUGACUCCCUGGGCGUGGGCAGGGACAGCCUGGCAGUCUCAGGCCAGGGACACUCACGGUUCUCUCUCUUUUCCCCUGCAGACACCUGAAGACAUUAAUCUGCGACUGGCACUACAG
rnacentral:lncRNA from 1 species